AACAAUAGCGACUGAGGAGGACAUUA
rnacentral:rRNA from 1 species